GACGUAGGAUGCGAGCGUUGUCCGGAAUUAUUGGGCGUAAAGGGAGCGUAGGCGGCCUGAUAAGUUCGAACUUAAAGACCAGGGCUCAACCCUGGGAGUGGUUUGAAUACUGUUGGGCUAGAGGACGGCAGAGGAAGGUGGAAUUCCAAGUGUAGCGGUGAAAUGCGUAGAUAUUUGGAGGAACACCGGUGGCGAAAGCGACCUUCUGGGCCGUUCCUGACGCUGAGGCUCGAAAGCUCGGGGAGCAAACAGG
rnacentral:rRNA from 1 species